GGUCCUCCCGGCAUGGAUGCCGGGAGAGCCGUGUUGGGCCAUGGAUGGCCCGUCACGGCGUGGCC
rfam:Pseudomonas sp. Lz4W Contig28, whole genome shotgun sequence.